GGGAAAUCAAGGAGAUCCUGGAUUACCAGGCCCUCCUGGUCCUGUCGGCCCACCUGGCACUCAAGGCAUACCUGGAAUAAAGGGAGAUGCAGGAGAACCUGGGUCCAGCAUCCGAGGUAUGCCAGGCCCUCAAGGGAGUGUGGGACUCCCAGGACCACCAGGAUCUCCUGGGCUUGC